rnacentral:misc_RNA from 1 species
CUGUACUUCCGGUAGUCGUAGUCGAGCCUCUGCCGCCUGCCCUGCGAAAGCGAGGGCCGCGCGGCGGGGGUGGGGAUUUCGUCUACCGCGUCUUCAACUCGCCGCAGAGGACAACCACACCCGUGGUGGCCCAACACGGUCGAGGCGAAGUAACCCUUGCCUAUGAGUACCUUUUCGUUCCCUCGGCGGGCCUCGCGCUCGCCGCUGGGCCCCAUCCCAUACCCCUUUGCAGUAGUCGUAUACCUCUGAUCGUGGGCACUUGAAUCUUUA